AACUUCAUCAGACACCUCUCUCUCUCUCUCUCUCUCACACUCGGUGACUCAAGAACAUCAUGCCAGAUCUCUCAAGAUGCAGUUUCAUGACUAGAUCUGUGAGGAUUUCACCAGAUCGAUGAAGGUCUGCAACCCUUGUUCUAGGAAUCUUGAAAAUCUUUCAUCAUUCAAACGAUACCUGAAUCUCUAAUCCCGCCCAAAUCCUUUUCUCUUUGCAGUCCCGGUUCAAAUUUUGAAUCCCUAAUUGAAGCACAUGAAACCCUGGCCACAUAUUUUCACAUACAUCCCGAAAAGGUGAAAAAAGGCAGUUGGCACCAAAUCACCUCCCAUUCUCUUUCGGUUCUCUCUCAAUACACUAUUACCACACAUCGAUUAGCCCCUGUUCUUCGUCAUCACCAAAUGGCACCCAGGUACAUCUUCUCUCUGUAUAAUGCUCUUGAAUCAUUUUUGUGUUAUUAGUUUAGUAUUCUACGUUUAAAAGGGUUUUACUGCUACCUAGCAACCUGAAGUUGCAGACCUAGGGUUUUGAAUACCCAAUUUCAGGCAAAAGAAGAUUUAUAGAAGAAGUUAAGAGCGUUGAUCUUUGUGUCAGUUGAGUACAGAGCAGGAGAUCGACAUUGUUUCGAAUCUGUGAUUCCAAGUUGAAGUUUUUGGAAACUGGGAAGACCAUGCUGGGAUUUCCGAAUUCUUAAGAGUAAUUCGUUUGUUGCAACUUUGAUUUCUUAAAGUCUAUGUCUAUUUAAGUGUUUCUUGAAGUCAAGCACAAGCCCCAAAGUUCCUGGUGAUUUCUUGUGCAUAUUCAAGAGUUUACCCCCUCAUAUAUCCAAGGAUUUCAACCUGGUGAAGCUUUUGUGGUCCGAAAUAUGGCUAACCUUGUUCCACCACUAAAGAGGGCUGCUACUGCUGAUCAGAUAUUGAGGGAGUUGCAAAGUAUUUCACACAUGUUGGUUCAAGUGGUUUACAUUAUUUGAAAACACAUAACUUGAAUACCAAAUUGGUUUACAUUCUAACCAGUUUAUGCGCCUUGCUUAUCUUAGGGCCUCGCUUUUUAAGCGCCUUGCGCCUAGGCUUCGGGCACGGCCUUUGCGCCUAGGCUUCGGGCACGGCCUUUGCGCCUAGGCUUCGGGCACGGCCUUUGCGCCUUAAGUGCGCCUGGCGCCUUUGACAACAUAUAAUGGUGUUACUUGAAACUGUAACAUACUAUUAGCUCAGUAUGGCGUUAUAAUGAGUAAAAAUGGGAUGAUACCUGGAAACUAGAAGGCUUCUUCAGUUAAGUUAAAUUGGAGGUCAUCUACUGCAAAUACAUAUAAGACUGGUACUUGUUGAUAACGUCUAAGUCGUAGGCACUUAACCCUUUUAGGCUUCAUUCUGAGUUGUUCUUUAUCGAUAGCAUGGGGGCUGGGGAAGAGAGCUCACCUGCUAAGCCUUCCAAACCUGCUUCAGUUGGAAAUUGCAAGCUUUCUAACCGUUUGGAUCCAGUUGCGAAAAAAUAAACCUUUGGACGAAAGUCACAAAACUGGCCAAACUUCAGGGACGAAAAUGGCAUUAUACUCAAUAAAAAAGCUUACUUUUUUAUGAACCCUGCUGUAUCAUUCUUUUUGUUUAAUUGUUCUGUUAUUUCAGGUUGCUGAUUUGGCAAGGCUAAGUCAUGAAAACACAGGGAAAUUGCUUGGGUAUUGUAUAGAUACUAGCCCGUCAACGAAUGUUAGUUUUUGAAUAUGCGUCGGACGGAACAUUGUAUGAGCAUCUCCAUUCUUGAUGACUUUGAAAGUUGGAAAACUCUUGUGAUGAGAUCAGAAAGUAGCGCACAUUCGAUUAGCCAUGAAGGUGAUAUGUGUUCUUCCGAGCUCGUUUGAAGAACGCGAUCUGGAUAUAUGUGUUCACAAGGAAAUCCAGCACACAUUUAAGGCCCCAAGACCGUAUAUCCAUGAAAGAAUUGUGUGCCAUUUUGGAAAAAUAGAAUCGACACAUCAUCUUCUUCAGAGAUGAAGGCGACUUCAUUAGCCUGGGCCGAGCUCAUGCUCUCCCCUUGACCAGAGUCAUAGAGCUUGGCAUCAUAUAGUAAAUACUUCCUAUAUACAUCAUUAUACUAGGACACGUUUAGGAAUUUUGUGUUCGUGAUCGUUUGACAAUUUCAAUCGAGAUUUUUUUAAUCAAGAUUAACCAUAUAAAUGUUAUAUCAUAUAACACAGAUCAAACUAUUUGUGAACACUUGAUUUGAAGUUCUGUUUUGCAGUCCUGUGUUGAAUAUAUUUAAUAGUG